UCAGAAACUCAAAGGAAGUUGACGGGGCCCGCACAAGCGGUGGAGCAUGUGGUUUAAUUCGAUGAUACGCGAGGAACCUUACCUGGGCUCGAACGUAAGAUGACUGUAGGUGAAAGCUUACAUCUCUUCGGAGCAUUUUACGAGGUGCUGCAUGGUUGUCGUCAGCUCGUGCCGUGAGGUGUCGGGUUAAGUCCCAUAACGAGCGCAACCCCUACCUUUAGUUGCCAUCAGGUUAAGCUGGGGACUCUAAAGGAACUGCCUACGCAAGUAGUGAGGAAGCGGGGAUGACGUCAAAUCAGCACGGCCCUUACGUCCAGGGCUACACACGUGCUACAAUGGCCGAUACAGAGGGCAGCUACCUGGUGACAGGAUGCAAAUCUCCAAAGUCGGUCUCAGUUCGGAUCGGAGUCUGCAACCCGACUCCGUGAAGUUGGAUUCGCUAGUAAUCGCGCAUCAGCCAUGGCGCGGUGAAUACGUUCCCGGGCCUU
rnacentral:rRNA from 1 species